CUUAGGUCCAUCAAGGACAGAAUAAAGAAAACCACCUCUAGCUAGAGAGCUCUCCUGUCAACCAACCUCUUAAAAAGUAUGCUGUUCAUCAAGAUGGAGCCCCUUUUUCAGAGAUAGCUCCCCAAGAAGGGGAAGCUGCCAAGAUUCACCCUCUCUCCAGUGCCCUCGUUUUAAAACCAAACCAGGAUUUCUGAAUCUCAGCGCUAUCGACAAUUAAGACUGGAUAAUUCUUUGUUGUGUGGGGCUAUCCUGUCACUAGAUGCCAGUAGUACUCCAUUUAUGGACAGUGCCAAAUGUCCUUGGGGAGCACAAUCGUGCCUGGUAGAAAACAAAGGCAAGAGGCCAAAGAACUGAACCCUGAGGUCCACCAACAUUUGAAAGGAAGGCAGAGGAAGAGAAACUAUUAUGAAUGACCAAAUGAGGAGAGUUUCAAGAAAGAACUGUUUGGUAAAGUCAGCUGUUCCAGAGAAGUUACAUAAAAUGGACAGAAAAAAAAAUCUUUGAAUUUGGUGAUGAGGAGGUUCUUGGUGACCUAAGAGAGAUUUACAUGCAAUAUGCUAAGAUGGAAAUAAUGCUUUAAAAAAGAAAACACACAAUCAUUUUGCGGAAGACUUGAGAAAAACGUUUUCAGCUUAAAGAGAAAAAAGCAGUGAGACCCCUUCGGCGUCUGUGCAAAACUGUUUGCUUGGCUCUGGAGGUGAUAAAAAUAAUUUAUGAAGCUCUACAUUUUUAGCAAGAGGAAAUGACCUCAGCUUUUGGCAAUCUGAUGCAGUUAGUGAAGCCUCUCUCUACUACUUUUAUGGAUUUCCUUGAGCUGCAUAUUCUGUGACCUGUAUUUCAGAUUUAUUGGCAGAUACAUAAGCCACAUUAAGUAACAUAAAAUGCAGUGAAUGCAUCAAACAACUCAGCGGGGACCGACUGACAGCAGGCGAGAGGCUGCCUCUUCGAAGAAGUCAUUCCGAAUCUGAUACCUGUUUAUGCAUUUGUCUAACCAGGCUCUGGAUUUUUAUUUUAAAUAAAGACAUUAUUUCAAAACAAAAGAGCCUCCAGCCAAAGAU
rnacentral:lncRNA from 1 species